rnacentral:piRNA from 1 species
UGAAAUUGGUGGGAAGCAAGCAGGGGU